GCGAUCCUACGGGGCGCAGCAGUGGGGGAUAUUGGACAAUGGGGGGAACCCUGAUGCAGCGACGCCGCGUGAGUGAAGAAGUAAUUCGUUAUGUAAAGCUCUAUCAGCAGGGAAGAAUAAAUGACGGUACCUGAGUAAGAAGCCCCGGCUAACUACGUGCCAGCAGCCGCGGUAAUACGUAGGGGGCAAGCGUUAUCCGGAUUUACUGGGUGUAAAGGGAGCGUAGACGGCAGUGCAAGUCUGGAGUGAAAGGCGGGGGCUCAACCCCCGGACUGCUCUGGAAACUGUACGGCUGGAGUGCAGGG
rnacentral:rRNA from 1 species